GAUGAACGCUGGCGGCGUGCCUAAUACAUGCAAGUCGAGCGAACAGAUGAGGAGCUUGCUCCUCUGACGUUAGCGGCGGACGGGUGGGUAACACGUGGAUAACCUACCUAUAAGACUGGGAUAACUUCGGGAAACCGGAGCUAAUACCGGAUAAUAUAUUGAACCGCAUGGGUCAAUGGUGAAAGACGGUUUUGCUGACACUUAUAGAUGGAUCCGGGCCGAAUUAGCUAGUUGGUAAGGUAACGGCUUACCAAGGCAACGAUGCGUAGCUGACCUGAGAGGAUGAUCAGCCACACUGGAACUGAGACACGGUCCAGACUCCUACGGGAGGCAGCAGUAGGGAAUAUUGGACAAUGGGCGAAAGCCUGACCCAGCCACGCCGCGUGAGUGAAGAAGGUCUUCGGGUUGUAAACCUCUUUUGUUAGGGAAGAAAAGAUGCGGGCUAAUACAUGGACGUCUUGACGGUACCUAAAGAAUAAGCACCGGCUAACUACGUG
rnacentral:rRNA from 1 species